rnacentral:rRNA from 1 species
GACGGAGGGUCCUAGCGUUGUUCGGAAUUACUGGGCGUAAAGGGCGCGUAGGCGGCCGGCUAAGUCGGGUGUGAAAGCCCGGGGCUCAACCCCGGAACGGCACCCGAGACUGGUCGGCUCGAGACCGGGAGAGGAGGGUGGAAUACCCAGUGUAGAGGUGAAAUUCGUAGAUAUUGGGUGGAACACCGGUGGCGAAAGCGGGUCUCUGGCCCGGGUCUGACGCUGAGGCGCGAAAGCGUGGGGAGCAAACAGG